rnacentral:lncRNA from 1 species
CCAUUUUCCCCCAUCUGACCGGCGGGAGCCUCUGAAGGACCGCUUCCGCCGCUUAGCUGGGGGAAAAUGUCGGCAGGGGGUGGCGGCCUGGGAAGGGCCCGCCUCCCAGCUGGGUAGAAAGGCUCUUGCGAAGGAGAGCAGGGACCUCCACCUCCCUCCUUCGCAAGAGCCGGCCGGCGUUUCUACCCAGCUGGGCAGCGGGCUCUUGCAGAGGAGGGAGGUGGCUCCCUCCUUGCAAGAGCCCGCCUCCCAGCUGGGUAGAAAGGCUCUUGCGAAGGAGAGCAGGGACCUCCACCUCCCUCCUUCGCAAGAGCCGGCCGGCGUUUCUACCCAGCUGGGCAGCGGGCUCUUGCAGAGGAGGGAGGUGGCUCCCUCCUUGCAAGAGCCCGCCUCCCAGCUGGGUAGAAAGGCUCUUGCGAAGGAGAGCAGGGACCUCCACCUCCCUCCUUCGCAAGAGCCGGCCGGCGUUUCUACCCAGCUGGGCAGCGGGCUCUUGCAGAGGAGGGAGGUGGCUCCCUCCUUGCAAGAGCCCGCCUCCCAGCUGGGUAGAAAGGCUCUUGCGAAGGAGAGCAGGGACCUCCACCUCCCUCCUUCGCAAGAGCCGGCCGGCGUUUCUACCCAGCUGGGCAGCGGGCUUUUGCAGAGGAGGGAGGUGGCUCCCUCCUUGCAAGAGCCCGCCUCCCAGCUGAUCGGCAGUUCCAAAAUGGCCGCCAGUUUCGUGCCCCGCUUACCAAGGGUGCGAAAAUGGCGGCGGUAUGGAGGAACUUCGCUGAACGGUGAGUACGGAAGCCAUUGGAACACAUUAAACUAAGUUUAAUGCGUUCCAAUGGCUUUUUGCUUUCCGUUUAACGAAGUUUUCACAUAGCGAAGGUUAAUCCGGAACGGAUUAACCCUCGCUAUGCGAGGCACCACUGUAUUAUUACCAUGAAAAACUGGAGGAUUACUGCAAAUAUAGCAGGUAACAGAGGAGGAAAAAGAACCCUAAAUUAUUGUAUUAGUAUAAG